UAGAUACGACAACUAGUGCAGGAUCUGA
rnacentral:piRNA from 1 species